GAGACGGGCUGGGGCUGGUGGGCUCGCGCGCGCGGGGACGGUUGAGCGCGCGAGCCGAACUUCGCCGCCUCCAGAACUGAUUCGCCCCCGUGCGGCCCGGGACGUCCGAGGGGCCGGCGCCGUGGCGGGGCAGCGGCGCUCACGAAAAAACACAGCCCAGAAUUUAUGAAGAGCUUUACAGUAACCAGUCUGCACAUGAAAUGGAAGGGGAACAGAUUAUGGCAGCUGAUUUCUGUUUCAAUCUUCCAAGCGGUUGCUAUAAACAGAAGCUGACCUGCAAAGCCCUGGACAUCCACUACUGGCAAGGGGUGACACUAGUGUCAGAAUGACAUACUCGAGUUGGAAGAAGGAGCAACAAUAUAACUUUUCUGCAGUGCAUUCGCCACUAGAGAUAAGACUAUAAAUGUGCCAACACUUUCAAACCUGAUUGCCAAGAGUUUUGCUUCUAAAUUUGUAUUUUAUGUACCUAAAUUUAAGUGGCCUGAUUUUUCAGGCGUGCCAAGCACCCACAAACCCCACUGGAGCUAUAAAAUUGCUGCAUUACUUGUUACAAGAAAAGUCCUAUUGCCCUGAAAGAAACAUUCCGUAUAAGGGUCUGUUUAUCUGGUAGCUAAUCACUUGUUUUACCUCCCUUCUGCAUAGUUUAAAAUAAUCCUUUUGUUUAAAUGGGAGGGGGUAUCCUGUAUCUUUUUCUGCUACCCACACAAGUAUCAAAUGGAACUUAACUUUUCAGCCAACAUC